GCUACAGGCUUAACACAUGCAAGUCGAGGGGAAACGAUAGAGAAAGCUUGCUUUUUCUAGGCGUCGACCGGCGCACGGGUGAGUAACGCGUAUCCAACCUGCCCACCACUUGGGGAUAACCUUGCGAAAGUAAGACUAAUACCCAAUGAUAUCUCUAGAAGACAUCUGAAAGAAAUUAAAGAUUUAUCGGUGAUGGAUGGGGAUGCGUCUGAUUAGCUUGUUGGCGGGGUAACGGCCCACCAAGGCAACGAUCAGUAGGGGUUCUGAGAGGAAGGUCCCCCACAUUGGAACUGAGACACGGUCCAAACUCCUACGGGAGGCAGCAGUGAGGAAUAUUGGUCAAUGGGCGAGAGCCUGAACCAGCCAAGUAGCGUGCAGGAAGACGGCCCUAUGGGUUGUAAACUGCUUUUAUAAGGGAAUAAAGUGGGAGUCGUGACUCUUUUUGCAUGUACCUUAUGAAUAAGGACCGGCUAAUUCCGUGCCAGCAGCCGCGGUAAUACGGAAGGUCCGGGCGUUAUCCGGAUUUAUUGGGUUUAAAGGGAGCGUAGGCCGGAGAUUAAGCGUGUUGUGAAAUGUAGAUGCUCAACGUCUGCACUGCAGCGCGAACUGGUUUCCUUGAGUACGCACAAAGUGGGCGGAAUUCGUGGUGUAGCGGUGAAAUGCUUAGAUAUCACGAAGAACUCCGAUUGCGAAGGCAGCUCACUGGAGCGCAACUGACGCUGAAGCUCGAAAGUGCGGGUAUCGAACAGGAUUAGAUACCCUGGUAGUCCGCACGGUAAACGAUGGAUGCCCGCUGUUGGUCUGAAUAGGUCAGCGGCCAAGCGAAAGCAUUAAGCAUCCCACCUGGGGAGUACGCCGGCAACGGUGAAACUCAAAGGAAUUGACGGGGGCCCGCACAAGCGGAGGAACAUGUGGUUUAAUUCGAUGAUACGCGAGGAACCUUACCCGGGCUUGAAUUGCAGAGGAAGGAUUUGGAGACAAUGACGCCCUUCGGGGUCUCUGUGAAGGUGCUGCAUGGUUGUCGUCAGCUCGUGCCGUGAGGUGUCGGCUUAAGUGCCAUAACGAGCGCAACCCCUCUCCUUAGUUGCCAUCAGGUCACGCUGGGCACUCUGGGGACACUGCCACCGUAAGGUGUGAGGAAGGUGGGGAUGAAGU
rnacentral:rRNA from 1 species